GCCUAGUUAGCUUAGUUGGUAGUGCGUCUGCCUUGUAAGCGCUAGGCCGCGGGUUCGAUUCCCACCUGGGGCG
rnacentral:tRNA from 1 species